GGCUUUGCCUGCUAUCUCUUACCCAUGUCUUUUGAGUACCUUACGUUUCCUCGGUGGGUUCGCCCACCGAUUGGACAAAUUUAAACCCUUUGCAGUUGAAAUCAGCGUCUGAAAAAACUUAAUAGUUACAACUUUCAACAACGGAUCUCUUGGUUCUGGCAUCGAUGAAGAACGCAGCGAAAUGCGAUAAGUAGUGUGAAUUGCAGAAUUCAGUGAAUCAUCGAAUCUUUGAACGCACAUUGCGCCCCUUGGUAUUCCAUGGGGCAUGCCUGUUCGAGCGUCAUUUGUACCUUCAAGCUCUGCUUGGUGUUGGGUGUUUGUCUCCUGUAGACUCGCCUUAAAACAAUUGGCAGCCGGCGUAUUGAUUUCGGAGCGCAGUACAUCUCGCGCUUUGCACUCAUAACGACGACAUCCAAAAGUACAUUUUUACACUCUUGACCUCGGAUCAGGUAGGGAUACCCGCUGAACUUAAGCAUAUCAAUAAGCGGAGGAA
rnacentral:rRNA from 1 species